GUGAGGAAUAUUGGUCAAUGGGCGAGAGCCUGAACCAGCCAAGUCGCGUGAAGGAAGAAGGAUCUAUGGUUCGUAAACUUCUUUUGCAGGGGAAUAAAGUGCAGGACGUGUCCUGUUUUGUAUGUACCCUGAGAAUAAGGAUCGGCUAACUCCGUGCCAGCAGCCGCGGUAAUACGGAGGAUCCGAGCGUUAUCCGGAUUUAUUGGGUUUAAAGGGUGCGUAGGUGGUUUGAUAAGUCAGCGGUGAAAGUUUGCAGCUUAACUGUAAAAAUGCCGUUGAAACUGUCGGACUUGAGUGUAAAUGAGGUAGGCGGAAUGCGUGGUGUAGCGGUGAAAUGCAUAGAUAUCACGCAGAACUCCGAUUGCGAAGGCAGCUUACUAAACUACAACUGACACUGAAGCACGAAAGCGUGGGGAUCAAACAGGAUUAGAAACCCUGGUAGUCC
rnacentral:rRNA from 1 species